GACGAACGCUGGCGGCGCGCUUAACACAUGCAAGUCGAGCGAGAACCCAGGCCUCGGCCUGGGGGAAAGCGGCGAACGGGUGAGUAACACGUGGGUAAUCUGCCCUCGGCAUCGGGAUAGCCCGGGGAAACCCGGAUUGAUACCGGAUGGCCCAGCAGCUCUUCGGGGCGGCUGGAAAAGGUAGCUUCGGCCUCCGGCCGAGGAGGAGCCCGCGGCGGAUUAGCUUGUUGGUGAGGUAACGGCUCACCAAGGCUCCGAUCCGUAGCUGGUCUGAGAGGACGAUCAGCCACACUGGGACUGAGACACGGCCCAGACUCCUACGGGAGGCAGCAGUGGGGAAUCUUGCGCAAUGGGCGAAAGCCUGACGCAGCGACGCCGCGUGAGGGAAGAAGGCCUUCGGGUUGUAAACCUCUUUCAGGAGGGACGAAGCCACUCGGGUUAAUAGCCCAGAGGGUGACGGUACCUCCAGAAGAAGCCCCGGCUAACUACGUGCCAGCAGCCGCGGUAACAC
rnacentral:rRNA from 1 species